rnacentral:tRNA from 1 species
GGCCUUAUAUUCAACAUUGAUUCUGGAUUGCAAAUCUAGAGGUGGAGUGAUAGCUCCUAAGGCUU